GGGGAAUUUUCCGCAAUGGGCGAAAGCCUGACGGAGCAAUACCGCGUGAGGGAUGACGGCCUAUGGGUUGUAAACCUCUUUUUUACAGGGAGGAAUAAAUGACGUGUACCCUGAAGAAUAAGCAUCGGCUAACUCCGUGCCAGCAGCCGCGGUAAGACGGAGGAUGCAAGUGUUAUCCGGAAUCACUGGGCGUAAAGCGUCUGUAGGUGGUUUAAUAAGUCAACUGUUAAAUCUUGGGGCUUAACCUCAAAAUCGCAGUCGAAACUAUUAGACUAGGGUAUAGUAGGGGUAAAGGGAAUUUCCAGUGGAGCGGUGAAAUGCGUAGAGAUUGGAAAGAACACCGAUGGCGAAGGCACUUUACUGGGCUAUUACUAACACUCAGAGACGAAAGCUAGGGUAGCAAAUGGGAUUAGAUACCCCAGUAGUC
rnacentral:rRNA from 1 species